GCGAAUAUAGCCAAGUGGUUCAAGGUAGUAGAUUAUAAAUUUGCCAUGCGCGGGUUCAAUUUUUGUUGUUCGCC
rnacentral:tRNA from 1 species